rnacentral:tRNA from 1 species
GUGGUUCAGUGAUAGAAUUCCCACCUCCCAUGUGGGAGACCUGGGUUCAAUUCCUGGC